rnacentral:rRNA from 1 species
UAACACGUAGGGAGCAAGCGUUGUCCGGAUUUAUUGGGCGUAAAGAGCUCGUAGGUGGUUCGGUAAGUCGGGUGUGAAAACUCUGGGCUCAACUCAGAGACGCCACCCGAUACUGCUGUGACUUGAGUCUGGUAGGGGAGUGUGGAAUUCCCAGUGUAGCGGUGAAAUGCGCAGAUAUUGGGAGGAACACCA